rnacentral:lncRNA from 1 species
UUCUUUCUCUCUGUACUGUUUAUAUUUUAACUCUGUAAAUGUAUCUUCAGAAAGAAAAGGAAAGAAAGAAAGAAAUGAAGGGAGGAAGGGAGGAAGGGAGGAAGGAAGGGAGGAAGGGAGGAAGGGAGGAAGGGAGGAAGGGAGGAAGGAAGGAAGGAAGGAAGGAAGGAAGGAAGGAAGGAAGGAAGGAAGGAAGGAAGGAAGGAAGGAAGGAAGGAAGGAAGGGAAAGAAAAAAAACAAAGAAAAAAAGAAAGAAAAAACAUGGAAAGCACUUCAGGUGACAUCUUCCAUGGAGGACCCCUGUUCUUCAAGAUAGGAGAGAAUACUUCUUGAUCCACUAUAUAUGACAGAAUGGCCACAAACAACUGUAAUACAAUACAUCUUCUGUACAACAGGCUAUUGUGCACAGGAUGCUGGCAUGGAGCUCACAGGCUGACAACUCUGCCAUUCGCCAAGAUGCAAGAGACUAUAGAGCCAGAACAAACUAUAAAACUGUAUGCUGGAAGGAAAUACUCUCAGCCUACACUCACUCCAUUUAUUACGGAAAAAUACCUAACUUAAGAAUCCAUCUCACAGUACAUGGCAUUUAUUUCUUUGCUUGCACUUGAACUGAAACUGCCACUGCUUGGAC